GCAUAUCAAUAAGCGGAGGAAAAGAAACUAACAAGGAUUCCCCUAGUAACGGCGAAGUGAAGCGGGAAGAGCUCAAAUUUGUAAUCUGGCACUUUCAGUGUCCGAGUUGUAAUCUCGAGAAGUGUUUUCCGCGCUAGACUGCAUACAAGUCUGUUGGAAUACAGCGUCAUAGUGGUGAGAACCCCGUACCUGAUGCAGAUGCCUAGUGCUUUGUGAUACACUUUCGAAGAAGUCGAGUUGUUUGGGAAUGCAGCUCAAAUUGGGUGGUAAAUUCCAUCUAAAGCUAAAUAUUGGCGAGAGACCGAUAGCGAACAAGUACCGUGAGGGAAAGAUGAAAAGCACUUUGGAAAGAGAGUUAACAGUACGUGAAAUUGUUGGAAGGGAAACGCUUGAAGUCAGACUUGCUAUCUGGAAUUCAGCCGCAAGGCGUAUUUUUCAGUUCGCAGGCCAGCAUCAGUUUUUGGGGGUGGAAAAGGGUAAUUGGAAUGUGGCAACUCCGGUUGUGUUAUAGCCUUUUACUGGAUUCACCUUUGGGGACUGAGGAACGCAGUGUGCUUUUUGCAAGGCCCUCGGGCUUAUCACACUUAGGAUGCUGGUGGAAUGGCUUUAAACGACCCGUCUUGAAACACGGACCAAGGAGUCUAACAUGCUUGCGAGUAUUUGGGUGUCAAACCCGGAUGCGCAAUGAAAGUGAAUGGAGGUGGGAAGCGCAAGCUGCACCAUCGACCGAUCUGGAUUUUUUAAGAUGGAUUUGAGUAAGAGCAAUUAUGUUGGGACCCGAAAGAUAGUGAACUAUGCCUGAAUAGGGCGAAGCCAGAGGAAACUCUGGUGGAGGCUCGUAGCGGUUCUGACGUGCAAAUCGAUCGUCAAAUUUGGGUAUAGGGGCGAAAGACUAAUCGAACUAUCUAGUAGCUGGUCUGC
rnacentral:rRNA from 1 species